CCUAUGUCACAGUUUUCUCACUGUUAUAAUUUGUGCAAAGGUAGUUUCAAGAUGGUUCUAGGACCUUGAGGAGUCCUAAGUAUCACAGAUGGAAAAAUCGGUAUGUUAAGAAAAGUACAGUCAUAAUCACUAACCCUUAUUUUAGUUAAAAUACAAGCUUAUACAUAGAAACAAGGCUGCAGUAUAGAAGAAAGUCCGCAAACAGGCAGUGCAGUUUUAAUUAGUUGAGUACGGAGACUAAUUAAUAUGCAAAUGAGGAGCUUACCAAUAUUAAUCAUCUGUUUUACUAGGCGGCUUUUACUAAAGAGUUUCUAACGAGUUUGCAAAUUAAGUUUCUUUGACAUUAAAAAUCAGCUAAACGCCUGUCUGAGAAUAAUCUCUUCUAACUCAAGGGCGGGAAGCGGGAAUUUUUUUCUGGACGAAAAACAGCAAUGUUUAAAACCAAUUCCCAUGUUGGCAAGCACUGGGCAAGAGUUCUGUAUCAACCCUUUCCAGGCUCUAAUUGAAACCAUUUCAGCAAGAGAGACACCAGAAAACAGUUGGAACAGAGACAAAUAUGAGUCAUGGUGAUUUAAAGAUACAUGACCUAGAAAGUUACAUCAAAAAACUUGCUUAAGUUGGUGACUGGCAUUGUUAAAGCACAAAAGAGGUUAGAAAUAUUUGCUUAAACUCCCUUUUAUGGCCUUUAACAUACCCCUAUGGUUCUCUUUACUUGGAAAUAUUGAAGAUUGGGUUGAGUGCUGACUUAUCAGCGGUGAUCUGAGUAUGAGGACAGAUUACAAAGUGGUCACUUUAGUUUUGGGAUUCAUUUUCAUUCAAAUUUGUGAAAAAGUAUAUAGGCUUCAGUUCAGUUAUGUUCAUUCUAUUUUCAUCCUAUUUGCAAUGUCAAUUGAUUCCAUUAUCGUGCCACUUGGCUAUUAAUACAAAAUUAUACACUACAAAUUAAUACAAUAUUUUUACGUUUCCUACUUCCAGGCAGAAUGUCAGCAAAGAAAUUCUUGUGAAAGACAAUAGAUUGGAUGCAACUCUUCUCUGAUCCUCUGCUCCAGUAAUUGAAAUUCACAGUUGCCCUUAAAAAUAUUUUCUCUUUCAUCAUAUCCCUAUGGAGAUUCAAAGGAAACUUUGAAAUGAUACCUUUUCAAUGAGCUCACAAUCUAUGUUUCUUCUCAAAUUUUGCACCUCUCCCCACCCCCGCCACUCUUCUAUACCUAUCAGCCAAAACUUACCACAAUUAGGCUAGACAAAUUUGUUACCAGGGAUCUCCUUUAUGCAUUCAUUCAUUCACUUGUUCAAUGAAUAUUGAUAAGGUUGAACCAAGGUACAGAGCAUCUCCCGCUGUAUAAGAUACUUUGGGAUGCAAAUAUGUAUAAUUAGCAGUUUCAAGGGAUUUACAGUCUACCAAGAAAAUAAAACACGUGCCCAAUAAGGCCGCUUUGAAGAAUUAUGUGAUAAAAGCAAUGAGAGUUGUAUAUCUCAUGUGCUUGCUGCAAAUGACUUUGAGCAAUCUUGUGAAAACAUUCUGCCUCAAUCUCUUUCUUAAUAUAGCAGAGUCCUAGUGAGAUAACAUCAGAGAACAGAAGAUGAUUGGUGAUUUAUUACUUUUCAGUUUUUACAAGUUUAAAGUGGCUUAUAUGACAAAUAUCGAAGAAUGGUCCCACCUUUCCCAGAGUAGGGAGAGACCCUACUUUAGUCUGUGGAUAUGUUUACUUGCUGACUGUCAAUGAGAAUGAGACAAUGACAUUCACUUAAAGUGUUCAGCGGGGAGCUCUGGACUAUAUUUUUCUGUUUCUGUUAUGAUUCUUGCUUGUCUGAAGCCUUAUUUCUUUUGGUCAAUACCUGUGCUAAAUGUCCUGGUUGGUGGAAAAUACUGUUAGGUUCAGAUUCAUUGAAAUUCAUGGCAAAAAUGAAAGAAAGUCCUUAAUCAAAGGCACAAGAUAGAUUUUGCAAAGAAAUUAUGGCCAGAAAAUUAAUCCAAAAUGUGCUUUGGUUUGGGCUUCUGUACAAGCACGUCUUGGCGGCAGGUCUGGACUCGAGGUUGUGGGAGCUGCAGGAGUGGAAAAUGGAAAUGGCUCAUCUGCACCUGCCCUUUCUCCAGAGAUUUGGCUCAUCAUCCUCUCCCAUGACACACAGGGCCAGUCCACACUCAGAGAGAAGUCUGCAGACCAUCCUUCCUUGAUGCCCAAGCCCCAGCAGGAUGGCGCUCCAAGUCACUGUCACUAAGCUGUAUAUGGUGUUUUACAAACAACUAUAUGAUUGGAUAUAGAAUGUAUUUCUGUGGUAUGUGUGAAUUCCAAUUGUUUGCUUUAGAACAGCACUGUUCAAUAGAACAUUUUGCAGUGACAAAAAUAUUCUAUAAAUCUCCAUGGUCCAAUACAAUAGCCACUAACCACAUGGCUAUUGAGGAUUUAAAAUCUAGAAAUGGAUUUUUAAUUUUAUUUCAUUUUGAUUACAUAAUUUUAAUUUAAAUAGCCACAUAUGUCUAGGAGCUUACCAUAAUGGACAGUGCAGCCCUAGAAAAUAACUUCAUCCAUUUCGAUUUUAUAAAUGGAAAUGGAAUAUAACCACCCUAUGAUAAUGACACAAUUCUGACUUAGGUGCAUGAACUAAUUCUCUUAAUUUUGACAUAAAUAUAAUGAAUGAAAUUUCAACCCUUCUGCUAUUGAUGAAAAAGUAAGGCUUUAACCUUAAUUGUCUAGAUUGAAUAUAUAACUGGCCAACUGCUCACUUUGAUUUUUUUUCCAUUUAUUAUACAUCUUGCAUCCCACACCUAGCCAUAGAUAGGUAAGAUUAAAUUAGUUGAAGGCCAGGCGCAGUGGCUCAAGCCUGUAAUCCCAGCACUUUGGGAGGCCGAGGCAGGCGGAUCACUAGGUCAGGAGAUCGAGACCAUCCUGGCUAACACAGUGAAACCCCGUUUCUACUAAAAAUACAAAAAAAUUAGCCAGGCAUGGUGGCAGGUGCCUGUAGUCCCAGCUACUCAGGAGGCUGAGGCAGGAGAACGGUGUGAACCCAGGAGGCGGAGCUUGCAGUGAGCCGAGAUCAUGCCACUGCACUCCAGCCUGGCCAACAGGGCAAGACUCCAUCUCAAAAAAAAAAAAAAAAAAAAGAUUAAAUUAGUCUUCCAUCUUAAGAGCACAUAAUAGGACCUUCUAAUUAGGACACAAAAUUAUAAAAACAUAAAGUAAAUGCAAAUAAUAUGAAUAAACUCUCUAGAUAAGUCAAAAUGCUGUUUGAAUCAGACUUCUGAACAACUUGGUGGCAUGGCUACACUGGAGGUAAAUUUGCUAUUAUUUGAAAAUUCUGAAAUCAAGUACUCUAAAUGAUGUGUUCUAAUAAGAAAUAAUCACCUCUUAAGAGUAUGGUAACAUGUAUGAUACUAAGCACAAGUAAUACAAAACAGCAUAUAACCUGAAUUUUAUGUAUAGUUCAUGUCUGGGAGGAAAUGUUCCCAAUGUUUGCACCAGAAUUAGAAGCAACCAGAGACUCAAUUGGUCUGAUUCUAAUAACUAUGGGGGAGCUUUUCUGAGAUGCUGAAUGUGCACUUCUGAGCCCCCUUCCACUCACCGAUCUGUGUUGAUCAGCCCAGAUACAUACAACUAACUAGAAUUUCAUCGCUUUUAAACCUGCACCAUUGAGUUGAUGCCACAUCCAUGAAUAUGAUUGAUUUAGACAAGACUGAAAAACGUAGCGUUUUAGAUAACCGGGGGUUCAGCCAAAUUCUAAGGAGAGGCUUGAGAGCACCUGCUCCUCUGGUGGCAUUAAUAUGGCUCCUGGAGGCUGGGCAUGGUGGCUCAUGCCUGUAAUCCUAGCACUUUGGGAGGCCAAGGUGGGCAAAUCACGAGGUCAAGAGAUCAAGACUGUCCUGGUCAACAUGGUGAAACCCCAUCUCUACUAAAAAUACAAAAAUUAGCUGGGCAUAGUGGCAUGUGCCUGUAGUCCCAGCUACUCGGGAGGCUGAGGCAGGAGAAUCGCUUGAACCUGGGAGGCAGAGGUUGCAGUGAGCUGAGAUUGCACCACUGCACUCCAGCCUGGGCGACAGAGCGAGACUCCAUGUCAAAAAAAAAAAAAAAAAAAAAAUGGUUCCCGGAAAAAUCAACCCACUUGUUUAUACAGCCUGUCUUACUUCAUAGGAUUCUUGUGAGAAUUAAAUGAGAUCCUGGGAGGGUUAGAUGACUACAGUAGAAAGAGCAGUCAGAUGAUUAAAAAAAUCUGAAUUUUAAUCCUGAGACUUUACUUAAUGUCUUUGAGUUUUAGCUUUCUUACCUGCAGAAUGAAGGUAGGAAUGUCGGCUCCAUAUAUCUCACAGAGUUUCUGCAAGGAUCAUGAAACACUCACUCUGCAUGCUUUUUUUUUUUUUAAUUCUGAGUUUGUUAUAGGCACAGAGAUUUCUGAUUUCUGGUCACUGUUUUUUAGAUUCAUUUACUUUUAUCUAGUCCCUUAGUCACCAGUUGCACAUAUCUACAAAAUGAUUGGCUGGGAUUAGUGGCGUGGUCUAUGAAGGUGAAAUUGAGUGAAACAAGAAGAACCAUAAAAGGCCCCAAAUCCAUGGCCUUGACUUCAUUAAGCAAGCGCAAUAUUCAUCUGUGCGAUCCAUCUUCAGUGAAAUGCAGCCUCCUGACCUUUUGCCAGCUUAGCCCCGCUGUCAGCAGCUGGGGGCUCUGCCACAGGGCUGGGGAGGGAGCCCCGGGUUGCCCACAUUGCAGAUCAUCUCAGGAAUAUUCAAGAGGGACUGUAAAAUAAACCCCCAGUCUUGUAAUUUUAUUUCAAAAAGCAAAAAUUCUCCCAGAUAAUGAGCAUUUCACUCUAAUAAGAACUGUAGGAUUGAUUAGGUUCAAACUGUUAACAGACAUCCUUAUGGUUAAUGAAGCAGCACUGAAAAUGCCUCUGGAUUUUUUUGAAACUUAAAUCAUACAAAAGCAAGCAAAGAACUGGAGGUAGGGUGGAAUAAACUGUCUGUUAGUUAAUAUACUCAAAAUAAUGGACCCAAAAUGUUCUUUGAAAAGUUAAUAUGUAUCAAGAGUUAUUUCCCCAAUGGGCAAGCAAUAAACUUUGAUGAUUAUUGUUGAAACAUUCUUUGGAUAACAUAUUUUUCUGUGAAUCUUGAGUGGGGGACUGAAGCUUCUGCCAUUUUAAUUCCUUUGUUAAUGUCUUUAUGAAUGCAAUUAACACUUCAUUCACGCUUCUUUGUUUCUGGAUCCCAUUAGGAUGUGGUUUAUGCCAGUUUCUCUCUCCCAGGAGACAGCCCGCAUCACACAACAUUUCACUCAGCUGUGUCGCUGAGCACUGACAAACUCAAUUUACGAAAGGCAAGAGUGAGUUGACACCAUGCUGUGGCAGUUGUCCUGAUGGGAGGAAACGACUCAUUUCCUUCCAAGGUAGAAUCCACCUUCUCUGAGAAGCAUGCUUGUGCACAAGAGUAUUGAAGACAAGGAGGAACUGUACAGAAGAAGAUGCAGGAGGUCUGAAGGGAAGUCAGAGACAAAAGAAGGAAGGAAGCAAGCAAGCACUGCUCAUGGAAUGGUCUGACAGCCCCAGGCUCGAGAAUGUGUCUCUCCCAAGUACUCUGUCACCCUGGUAACCAUGGAGACCAUGACGAUCGAUUAGAUGCCAUCUGAUCUCAACCUUAUAAAAAAAAAAAGGCAGCAGAUGGCAACCAGGCCACUAGACCUGUCUCAAGAGAGACGAAGAGGAAGAGCGAGAAAGGGAAGGAAGGAGGGAGAAAGGGGAGGAGGUGGGGGUGGGUUGGCGCAGGGAGAAGAGAGCCCAGAAGCAGCUAUGGAAAUGAAAAUUUUAGAAAAGAAUGAAAAUAGAAAACAAGGAAAGCAAUGGAAAAAAAGAAACUAAAACCCACUGUGUGAUAGACCUCUAUAGUGAGUUGUGGGAAGAUAAUUCUACAGAGAAAGCGAAUCAGCUAUCUCCUAACUUUCCACUUUUAUACAGAAUGGUGUGGAACCCGGGCCCCAAGGCUUCUCUGAGGGAUACGCACCAAGUUGGCUCUCAGAAUCGGUUGGACUUUGAUGCAUCCAAAAGAGAAUUCUGAGACCUGGUUCUCAGAAUGAAUGUCCCUAAUCAGAUGAGAUCUUUCAGGGAACUGUAUGCAUCAAUACCUGGUAUGUUUGUCAGCCCAUCCCCAGCAGUGUUCUAAUACUCCUUAAAGGAAGAAGCGAUAACCAGGUCAGUAGAUACCUAAGGUGAAAAGAAGACAAGAGCAGUUAAGUCAAUUCUGGUAACCUAGGAGUCUUAGCCAGUGUCCCAGAGUAAUGUAAUGGCUAAUAUUUAUGAAGUGUUUAUGAAAUGUCAGACACUGCUAAGCACUACAUACAGAAUAUUUAAUCCAGAUAACAAUAACAUAAGUUAGGUGCAAUAAUUAUUCCCAUUUUACGGAGAGGACCUGAGGCUUAGAGAGGUUAACUACCUUCAUCAAGGGCAUACCCAGAAUGCAAUAUGUAAAUGUUCAGAACAGCUUACUUAUAUAGAGAGUUGAUUUGCUCACUCUUGUUCUUUCUUUUCCAAUCCCCUCCCCUACCUUUUUUUUGAGAUGGAGUUUCACUCUGUCACCCAGGCUGGAGUGCAGUAGUGCAAACUCAGCUUACUGCAACCUUCGCCUCCUGGGUUCAGGUGAUUCUCCUGCCUCAGCCUCUGGAGUAGUUGAGAUUACAGGUGUGCACCACCACAUCUGGCUAAUUUUUGUAUUUUUAGUAGAGACAGGGUUUCACCAUGUUGCCCAGGCUGGUCUCAAACUCCCAACCUCAGAUGAUCCACCCACCUUGGCCUCCCAAAGUGCUGAGAUUACAGGCAUGAGCCACCGCACCUGGCCUUCUCCUCCUUUUUAUUUAUUUAUUUUCAUUUUUUAUUUUUUGAGAUGGUGUCUUGCUACAUCAGUCAGGCUGGUCUCAAACUCCUGGGGUCAAUUGAUCCUUCUGCCUCAGCCUCCCUAGUAGCUGGGACUAUAGGCAUGCACUACCACACCUAGCAUUUUUCCCUUUUACAUUUUAUUUCAGAUUUUUGCAGAUUACAAAACAGGACAUGUCCAAUAUAGAAAACUGCUUAAAACAAGAGAAAGAAAGGGAAAAUUAUCUACAAUCCCAUUAGUCAGAGAUAUGUGUGAUAAGCAUGUGGAUUAUGUAAUAUACAUAUAUAUAUAUAGAGAGAGAGAGAGGGAGACAGACAGGUAUAUUUUAAGCAAAUAUAGUAUUAAAUCUUAAAUACUGUUUGGUUAACCUACUUUUUUUUGGAACAUUAUAUUAUGAAAAACUUUCCAUAUUUUUGACUCUUCUAUUUUAUCUGAUUUGAUGAUUAUAGCAUUCUACUAUCUGAUGUAUCAUAAUUUUAUUUAACUACUUCCUUAUUAUUGGAUUGUAUUUUCAGAUUUUUGCUACUAUAAAUAAUGCUAUGGUGAUCAUUCUUGUAUGUAAACCUUUUUUGUACUCCUCUGACUUUUUUCUUUAGAAUGAAAACAUACUUGCUAAAUCAAAGUGUAUGUUUUCUCAAAACUUCUAAAUUGAGGUAUAGCAUAUAUACAACAAAGUGAAUAAAUCUCAAGUGUACUGAGAGUUGAAUUCUACAUGUGUAUAGACAAUGGGUAUAACCACCACCCAGAUCAAUGGAUUAAACAUUUUCCAGAAUGCUCUUCAUGCCUCUUCCCAGUCAAUAGCUAUCCCGUUCUUGAACUUCAUAUAAAUGGAAUCAUAGAGUGUGUAUUCUUUGGUUUCUGGCUUCCUUCACUCAACAUAAUGUCUGCGAGAUUCAUCCAUGCUGUGGAGUAUAGCAGUAAUUCAUUCUUUUUAUUGCUUCAUAGUAUCCUUUUAAAAAAAACUACAAUUUAUUGAUUUAUUUUUUUCUGAUAGACAUUUAGGCUAUUCUGAAUAAAGCUGUUAUGUAUAUUCUUAUACAUGUCUUUUGGAAGACAUAUUUAUACUUCAAAAAAUAUAAACUAGGAGAGGCAUAACUAAAUCAUAGAGUAAGGCAUACUUUUAGCUUUAAAUGCAGAGUAAACAUUUUUAAAGUUUUAUUUUGUUUUUGGAGAGGGGGCCUACUUUUAAAUUGAUCUCCAAAACAGCUGUACCAAUUUGAACUCCAACUAUCCAAUGUCAUGAGUGUACCCUUCCCCUUCCUGCCUUACCACCAGCUAGUGGGCAUUUUCAUUCUUCUUAAUCUUUGCCAGUGUGAGAAACAAAAUGGUAUCUCAUUGUUUAUAUUGUGUUUGAUGACCAAGAAAAUGUUAAAAAAAUUCUUGCUAUGUUACCAGAUAUUCUUGUUUCUUCUUUUGUAAAUUGCCCAUAUACAUCAUUGCACUAUUUGCUAUUAGCUUUAAGAUAAGGCAAAAAGCUUAAAUACGUAUAGUAUGUAUAGAUCCAUUGGCAUUGUAAGAAAAGUUCAUUGGCAUUUAUAACCAAAAAAUAUUUACAUUCUUUCCAUAAGUUGACAUCCUGCUCUAUAUAUUUCAGAACGAAGUUAACAUUUACAGAACACCAAUUACUGAGCACAUUUACUCUUUAAAACAGCCCUAUUUAUUUCAUUCUUACGAUUUCAUUUAACUUCAGAGGUAGCAUUUAGUUUUCAUGAAAACUCUAAAGGUAUUUAAUAUUCUGCCUAUUUUUACAAGUGCAGAAAUCAAAGCUCACGGGGCUCAGAGUCACAAAUGAUUAAGUGGUGGGACUGGGAUUUAAACCCAAGACACCUCAAGUCAAAAGUAAAUUAUUUUUCUCUUUUCUGUAGAUGCCAUUGCCUAGGUCAGUGCUCUGGCCUAUCAUCUGAAUGUUUGUAUCCUCCUAAAAUGUAUAUGUUGAAAUCCUCACCGCCAUAGGUGAUGCUGUUAGGAACUGGGGGCCCUUGGGAGGUGACUGAGUCUCGUGAAGGCAGGCCAUUGUGAAUGAUCAGUGUCCUUAUGAGAGCUGCCCCCCAAAUUUCCCUCACCUCUUCCACUAUGUGAGGACACAGCAAGAAGGCACCAUUUUUGAACAAGGAAGUUAGCCCUUACCAGACACCAAAUCUGCUAGCACCUUGAUCUUGGGCUUCCCAGACUCCAGAAAUGUGAGAAAUAACAUUUAUAUUACUUGUAAGUCACCCAGGUAUGGUAUUUUGUUACAGCUACCUGAACAGACUGAGAUAAGCAGUGAUUCUCUUUUUUUUCCCCCCACAUUUCAAACCCUAAGAGGGCAUCUGAAUUCUAGAACCCUAUCCCUAACUCCCUUCCAUUCUCAACACACAUCUACCGUUCCACUACCAAAGUCCAAAGAGUAUCAGGAUCUCUGGGCUAUCAAGAAGAUGGAGAAUAUGAAAAAAAUCCAUGUUAGCUCAUUUAUUUUAGAAACUUUUCUUUGUGUGUGGUGUGUUUUAAAAUCUGAGUAAUGGUUUAAUAAAUCCAGAAGUAGAAUAAGUAGAAGCAGAAGUGAAUCUAGGAUCUUUUCCUCUUGAUAAGUUACUCCUUUUGGGGUCUGAAGCUUACAUAAUUUUAGAGGCUUUUUAAAAGAAAAAGAAGACAAGAAUAUUUAUACAAAAUUAGGUUUGAGUGUUGAUUUAAAGUGAGAAAAGAAAUUGCUAUCAGUUACACAUUUUAAAAAUAUUUAACUGCCACAAGAAUCACAAAAUUAAAAAUAUAUAUAUAUUUAUUUUAUAUAUAUAUUUGUUUUAUAUAUAUAUAUAU